rnacentral:sRNA from 1 species
UGUUAUUUUUUUAUAUUACCCAUAGAAAAAGAUUAAAGACAAUACACUAAAAGCCAAAAAGUAAGAAACCCGACUGGUCCAAGGGCAAACCUGGUGAUGCUAAGGUAAAGGAGGAAGCUGAAGUUGAAGCCUAAGUGUUCCCGAUUUAUACUAUUAUGACCGUAUCCCGCCCUAAUUUUAAAUAAAUCAUUUAUAACUUUUUUCAACCAAUGUACAUCUAAAUUAUAUGAAAAAGAAAAAAACAGAAAACAUUAAAAAAAAACACCAUAAACACAUCUUUAUUUCUAAAUUUAUAAAAAUACAUAAGAAAACAUACAAACAUGUAGCAUCUAUUUUAUCUUUAUGCAAGCAAUGAUUGAUGAUGAUGAUGAUGAUGAUGGCACGACAAUCCCAUGUUUAAGAAAUUCUAUUAGUAAAGAAAUAAAUCAAAGAAAAUAGAAAUCGCAGGAAAUUAUUGGCAUAUUCCCAAACAACCUGAAAAUAAUUUUUAUGCACAUUUCCAAACCAAAAAAAAACAACAACAAUAUAUAUGUAUAUAAAGCACA